AGUUGCAACUUGAAACAAUGAAGAAUAUUCUCUGUCUCCAUAGAUAUGCUUCAUUCCCAUCCUUGCUAAAUUUGAAGUUUGCAUUGAAACCUCUGAGGCCAUUUUUUUUUUGCUUGCCCAUGAUUCACAGUGAGUUACGAAACUACAACUGUUAUGUAGCUGCAGACAUAUACACGUUUGACCCAACUUUGUAAAUAAAUAUUGUGUUUAGGACUGUUCAAAAAAUCUACGAACUGAACCGAACCGCUAAACUGAACUGAACUGAAGUUAAAAUAACCAAACCAUUAUAUUUGGUUAGUGAACCGAACCGCUAUUUUAUUAACGGUUCUAGAACCAAACCAAAUUAAAACUAACCAAACAUAAACUUUGAACCAUUAAUUUUAAAAGAUCAAUAUUUGAACUAUACUACUAUAGUGUCAUAUAUCCUCGAACAGAAACCAUCGUGAAAACCAAAACACCAAAAACUGAACUCAAAUUGUUGAAGCUACUAAGAACCCUAAAUUCCCAAAUCGUUGAAGCUCCAAAGAUGAAGAACCCUAAAUUCCCAAAUCGUUGAAGUUGCGUUUCCCUUUCUCAGUCGCAUUUUCAUCUUCAUUACCUAAUCGCAAGCUCCGCACGGCGUCGUCGUUCCCCUCCAGUUCAGCUUUCAGCCAUCUCUUCUAUACUGUGUUGAUUUUCAUCUGUUCAUAACCCAAACUAUAAAGGGUUUCUUCUUUUUUUGUGCUUGGAUUCUCUUUUAUUGGGUUAAGAGUGUAUAUUUUGUAUCAUAUUUGUGUUUGGUUACUGUGAUUUUGAAGGUGUUUUUCAACACCCAAAUUUGAUUUAUUUGUUUAGGUUUUGUUGGUCAAUUUGUGAUGUUUCUGUAAAAGGGUAUUCUUUUGCUAGCUCUGUAAAAAGGUGCAAGUUAUUCAAUUAAAGUUGACUUUAAUUUUUUGAUUGGAGAUACAGCUUAAUUAAUUAAGCGCUUAUAGCACGAUCAUGCUUCAUGUCAGUGCUAGUUUUUAGUUAAUUGUAUAACAAAAGAUGAAGUAAACAUUUUUUAGGAAAAAGCUACAAGCUGUUUUAGUGAGUCAUCUUGUAGAGCUUAUGAAAAUAAUCUAAAAGCAAGUUAUGGACAUGUCAAAUGCUUUUUCCUUGAGCUCUUUGAAAUUGCUUUGUUAUUCUUAUAGAACUCUCAACUUCAAUUUAUUGAUGUUUAUUUUUCCCUUAAGUGUUUGACUUGCAUACACCUGCUAGUUUUGAACUUCCUUGAUACAUCUAGGCUGUUUAGAAUCAUUCAUUUCAAGCAGUGCACAACAUUUGCAUUAAUUUUUGUUGUCAGUUUAAUCUAUUUGAAAUUUGCAAUGUACUUUCUGUUUGUGCCAGACUGCUAAAUUUAUGUUUUACAUCUAGGUAUUCCUUCUCUGCUUUUUCAUUUAUGGAUUGCAUCCUAGUAGUUAUAUUAAAUCUGAUUGAAUAAACUAAUUAGUGUUAGCAGGUUAGUGUAGAAGGAACAGAAGGGGCAGUUAGUGUAGAAGGAACCUUGGCUGGAAUUCUUGCAGCUCUAGUUCUUGCCUUUUUCAGUUUUCUCCUGGGCGAGAGAUAACAUCUCCGACAUCGGUAAAUCUUGAUGAUGAUGAAGACUUUGCAAGUUAAAAGAGUUUCAGAAGACCCUAGUUUAAUUUUAGUUGAUUAUGAUUUAAGAACUAGUUCGAAUGAAUUUUUGUUUAAGAAAUGGUUCGAUUGAAUUUUGGUUUAACAAAAGUUGUAUUUAGAUACUAGGAUUGACUUUUCCGAGCUUAUCUACUGAUAUAAGUUCUGUGACACUGUUUGCGAGACUUUUUCGAGCUUAUCUACUGAUAUAAGUUUUGUGA